UACGAAGGGGCUAGCGUGUUCGGAAUCACUGGGCGUAAAGCGCACGUAGGCGGAUGAUUAGUCAGGGUGAAAUGCCAAGGCUCAACCUUGGAACCGUGCCUUUGAUACUGCCAUCUGGGAGUCCGGGAGAGGUGAGUGGAACUGCGAGUGUAGAGGUGAAAAUUCGUAGAUAUUCCGCAAGAACACCAGUGGCGAAGGCGGCUCACUGGCCCGGUACUGACGCUGAAGGUGCGGAAAGCGUGGGGAGCAAACAGG
rnacentral:rRNA from 1 species